GUGCUUAGUUAAUUAGGAAAUCUCCGUUACCUAACAUUUGAUAGUGGUGAAAUACGAACAGAUACAUCUUGCUGGCGAUUUCACAUGUCUAAGUCUCCCGGUGGUGGGUACAUGGACUUUGUAGUAAUGAUCAGCCUUGGAUGAAAGAAAAACAAAAAUCCCAUGUAGAACUGGGGAACUUCCAGCUUUGCUAGGUAAGGUAUUUUUAGAUUGGGGCUAAUGAACUGCUUUUCAGCCUGAAGUCUUCAGGGACAGGCAGUCUGCAAGUACCAAAUGAAAAGCCAAGCCAGUAUUCUUGAAUGUAUAGAUCCAGUUUGCCAGAUUGAAGGACGCUUGCUCUUUGUAACUAACUGAACUAGCUGGCCCCUGCAUGCCGAGUUUCUAUGGCAAUGUGAU
rnacentral:lncRNA from 1 species